UACAGAGGGUGCAAGCGUUAAUCGGAAUUACUGGGCGUAAAGCGUGCGCAGACGGUUGCGUAAGUCAGAUGUGAAAGCCCCGGGCUCAACCUGGGGAAUUGCAUUUGAGACUGCGUAGCUAGGGUGCGGAAGAGGGAAGCGGAAUUUCCGGUGUAGCGGGUGAAAUGCGCAGAUAUCGGGAGGAACACCAGUAGCGAAGGCGGCACUCUGGGCCGGUACUGACGCUGAGG
rnacentral:rRNA from 1 species